AAGCUUCAGAAGAAGACGACAUGGGACAUUCCUGAGGGAAGUUU
rnacentral:sRNA from 1 species